AUUGAACGCUGGCGGCAUGCUUUUACACAUGCAAGUCGAACGGCAGCACGGGUGCUUGCACCUGGUGGCGAGUGGCGGACGGGUGAGUAAUGCAUCGGAACGUGUCCUGAAGUGGGGGAUAACGCAUCGAAAGAUGUGCUAAUACCGCAUAAUCUCUGAGGAGGAAAGUAGGGGAUCGAAAGACCUUAUGCUUUUGGAGCGGCCGAUGUCUGAUUAGCUAGUUGGUAGGGUAAUGGCUUACCAAGGCGACGAUCAGUAGUUGGUCUGAGAGGAUGAUCAAGCCACACUGGGACUGAGACACGGCCC
rnacentral:rRNA from 1 species